UACGAAGGGGGCUAGCGUUGCUCGGAUUGACUGGGCGUAAAGGGCGCGUAGGCGGAUAGUACAGUCAGGCGUGAAAUUCCUGGGCUCAACCUGGGGGCUGCGUUUGAUACGUAUUGUCUGGAGUUCGGAAGAGGGUCGUGGAAUUCCCAGUGUAGAGGUGAAACUCGUAGAUAUUGGGAAGAACACCGGUGGCGAAGGCGGCGACCUGGUCCGAUACUGACGCUGAGGCGCGAAAGCGUGGGGAGCAAACAGG
rnacentral:rRNA from 1 species